UGGGGUGUAGCACAAUGGGUAGUUUGCAAUCGCCUGUUAAGCGAUAGGUUGUCGGUUCGAGCCCGACCACCCCAGCCA
rnacentral:tRNA from 1 species